rnacentral:rRNA from 1 species
AGAGUUUGAUCCUGGCUCAGAUUGAACGCUGGCGGCAUGCUUUACACAUGCAAGUCGAACGGCAGCAUGGAGAGCUUGCUCUCUGAUGGCGAGUGGCGAACGGGUGAGUAAUACAUCGGAACGUGUCCUGUUGUGGGGGAUAACUACUCGAAAGAGUAGCUAAUACCGCAUAAGACCUACGGGUGAAAGCGGGGGACCUUCGGGCCUCGCGCAGUUGGAGCGGCCGAUGACUGAUUAGCUAGUUGGUGGGGUAAAGGCCUACCAAGGCGACGAUCAGUAGCUGGUCUGAGAGGACGACCAGCCACAUUGGGACUGAGACACGGCCCAAACUCCUACGGGAGGCAGCAGUGGGGAAUUUUGGACAAUGGGGGCAACCCUGAUCCAGCCAUGCCGCGUGCGGGAAGAAGGCCUUCGGGUUGUAAACCGCUUUUGUUAGGAACGAAAAGGUAUCUGUGAACAACAGGUAUUGCUGACGGUACCUAAAGAAUAAGCACCGGCUAACUACGUGCCAGCAGCCGCGGU